rnacentral:lncRNA from 1 species
UUAGUAGAGACUGGGUUUUACCAUAUUGGCCAGGCUGGUCUCCAACUCCUGACCUUGUAAUCUGCACGCCUUGGCCUCCCAAAAUGCUGGGAUUACAGGUGUGAGGUACCGCGCCCGGCUUCCUGAUGGUCUUUUUAAGCGCCCUACGAGUUUCAAAACCAUCUUUCGUUUCUGUUUUCAUGGAGUCAUGGAUGCUCACAGUCUGAAGUGCUGUCACGAUCCACGAUGUUGGACCCUGGCCCACCCGAACCCCUGUCUCCCUUCCCCAUUUUAAUCCUUUAAAAUAACUUCUUUUGCUAUGCAUCUCCAGAUUGAUGAAGAACAUACUUACAUUCCUACUUCCUGACAUUUCAGUUUUAGGCAUCCACUGACUUUCCACUACAGAAGAUGAAAAUGUAGCUCUCGGUCACUGACACACCCCACCCCUGUAACUCCAACACACACAGUCACACACAUCCUGUACUCACUGACACACCCCACCCCCGUAACUCUAACACACACUCACACGCUCCCUGUACUCACUGACACACCCCAACCCUGUAACCCUAACACACACAGUCACACAUCCUGUACUCACUGACACACUUCACCCCGUAACUCUAACACACUCACACGCUCUCUGUACUGACACACCUCACCCCUGUAACUCUAACACACACACUCUCACACACAUCCUGUACUCACUGACACACUUCACCCUGUAACUCUAACACACACACGCUCCCUGUACUAACUGACACACCCCACCCCUGUAACUCUAACACACACUCACAUGCUCCCUGUACUCACUGACACACCCCACCCCUGUAACUCUAACACACACACUCACACGCUCCCUGUACUCACUGACACACCCCACCCCUGUAACUCUAACACACACUCACAUGCUCCCUGUACCCACUGACACAGCUCACCCCGUAACUCUAACACACACACUCACACCCUGUACUCACUGACACACCCCACCCCGUCACUCUAAAACACACACACUCACACACCCUGUACCCACUGACACACCCCACCCCUGUAACUCUAACACACACUCACAUGCUCCCUGUACCCACUGACACAGCUCACCCCGUAACUCUAACACACACACUCACACCCUGUACUCACUGACACACCCCACCCCGUCACUCUAAAACACACACACUCACACACCCUGUACCCACUGACACACCCCACCCCUGUAACUCUAACACACACUCACAUGCUCCCUGUACCCACUGACACAGCUCACCCUGUAACUCUAACACACACACUCACCCACUGACACAGCUCACCCCUGUAACUCUAACACACACACACGCUCCCUGUACUCACUGACACACCCCACCCCUGUAACUCUAACACACACACUCACACGCUCCCUG